GUAAAAAGUAGAAUAAUAGAUUUGAAAUAUUUAUUAUAUAGAUUUAAAGAGAUAAUCAUGGAGUAUAAAAAUUAAAUUUAAUAAAUUUAAUAUAACUAUUAAUAGAAUUAGGUUACUAAUAAAUUAAUAACAAUUAAUUUUAAAACCUAAAGGUAAACCUUUAUAUUAAUAAUGUUUUUUUUUUUAUUUUUAUAAUUAAGAAUAAUUAUUAAUAAUAAUAAACUAAGUGAACUGAAACAUCUAAGUAACUUAAGGAUAAGAAAUCAACAGAGAUAUUAUGAGUAUUGGUGAGAGAAAAUAAUAAAGGUCUAAUAAGUAUUAUGUGAAAAAAAUGUAAGAAAAUAGGAUAACAAAUUCUAAGACUAAAUACUAUUAAUAAGUAUAGUAAGUACCGUAAGGGAAAGUAUGAAAAUGAUUAUUUUAUAAGCAAUCAUGAAUAUAUUAUAUUAUAUUAAUGAUGUACCUUUUGUAUAAUGGGUCAGCAAGUAAUUAAUAUUAGUAAAACAAUAAGUUAUAAAUAAAUAGAAUAAUAUAUAUAUAUAAAAAAAUAUAUUAAAAUAUUUAAUUAAUAUUAAUUGACCCGAAAGCAAACGAUCUAACUAUGAUAAGAUGGAUAAACGAUCGAACAGGUUGAUGUUGCAAUAUCAUCUGAUUAAUUGUGGUUAGUAGUGAAAGACAAAUCUGGUUUGCAGAUAGCUGGUUUUCUAUGAAAUAUAUGUAAGUAUAGCCUUUAUAAAUAAUAAUUAUUAUAUAAUAUUAUAUAAAUAUUAUAUAAAGAAUGGUACAGCAAUUAAUAUAUAUUAGGGAACUAUUAAAGUUUUAUUAAUAAUAUUAAAUCUCGAAAUAUUUAAUUAUAUAUAAUAAAGAGUCAGAUUAUGUGCGAUAAGGUAAAUAAUCUAAAGGGAAACAGCCCAGAUUAAGAUAUAAAGUUCCUAAUAAAUAAUAAGUGAAAUAAAUAUUAAAAUAUUAUAAUAUAAUCAGUUAAUGGGUUUGACAAUAACCAUUUUUUAAUGAACAUGUAACAAUGCACUGAUUUAUAAUAAAUAAAAAAAAUAAUAUUUAAAAUCAAAUAUAUAUAUAUUUGUUAAUAGAUAAUAUACGGAUCUUAAUAAUAAGAAUUAUUUAAUUCCUAAUAUGGAAUAUUAUAUUUUUAUAAUAAUAAUAAAAAUAUAAAUACUGAAUAUCUAAAUAUUAUUAUUACUUUUUUUAAUAAUAAUAAUAUGGUAAUAGAACAUUUAAUGAUAAUAUAUAUUAGUUAUUAAUUAAUAUAUGUAUUAAUUAAAUAGAGAAUGCUGACAUGAGUAACGAAAAAAAGGUAUAAACCUUUUCACCUAAAACAUAAGGUUUAACUAUAAAAGUACGGCCCCUAAUUAAAUUAAUAAGAAUAUAAAUAUAUUUAAGAUGGGAUAAUCUAUAUUAAUAAAAAUUUAUCUUAAAAUAUAUAUAUUAUUAAUAAUUAUAUUAAUAAUAUAUAUAAUUAUAUUAUAUAUUAUAUAUUUUUUUUUAUAUAAUAUAAACUAAUAAAGAUCAGGAAAUAAUUAAUGUAUACCGUAAUGUAGACCGACUCAGGUAUGUAAGUAGAGAAUAUGAAGGUGAAUUAGAUAAUUAAAGGGAAGGAACUCGGCAAAGAUAGCUCAUAAGUUAGUCAAUAAAGAGUAAUAAGAACAAAGUUGUACAACUGUUUACUAAAAACACCGCACUUUGCAGAAACGAUAAGUUUAAGUAUAAGGUGUGAACUCUGCUCCAUGCUUAAUAUAUAAAUAAAAUUAUUUAACGAUAAUUUUAUUAAAUUUAGGUAAAUAGCAGCCUUAUUAUGAGGGUUAUAAUGUAGCGAAAUUCCUUGGCCUAUAAUUGAGGUCCCGCAUGAAUGACGUAAUGAUACAACAACUGUCUCCCCUUUAAGCUAAGUGAAAUUGAAAUCGUAGUGAAGAUGCUAUGUACCUUCAGCAAGACGGAAAGACCCUAUGCAGCUUUACUGUAAUUAGAUAGAUCGAAUUAUUGUUUAUUAUAUUCAGCAUAUUAAGUAAUCCUAUUAUUAGGUAAUCGUUUAGAUAUUAAUGAGAUACUUAUUAUAAUAUAAUGAUAAUUCUAAUCUUAUAAAUAAUUAUUAUUAUUAUUAUUAUUAAUAAUAAUAAUAUGCUUUCAAGCAUAGUGAUAAAACAUAUUUAUAUGAUAAUCACUUUACUUAAUAGAUAUAAUUCUUAAGUAAUAUAUAAUAUAUAUUAUAUAUAUAUUAUAUAUAAUAUAAGAGACAAUCUCUAAUUGGUAGUUUUGAUGGGGCGUCAUUAUCAGCAAAAGUAUCUGAAUAAGUCCAUAAAUAAAUAUAUAAAAUUAUUGAAUAAAAAAAUAAUAUAUAUUAUAUAUAUUAAUUAUAAAUUGAAAUAUGUUUAUAUAAAUUUAUAUUUAUUGAAUAUAUUUUAGUAAUAGAUAAAAAUAUGUACAGUAAAAUUGUAAGGAAAACAAUAAUAACUUUCUCCUCUCUCGGUGGGGGUUCACACCUAUUUUUAAUAGGUGUGAACCCCUCUUCGGGGUUCCGGUUCCCUUUCGGGUCCCGGAACUUAAAUAAAAAUGGAAAGAAUUAAAUUAAUAUAAUGGUAUAACUGUGCGAUAAUUGUAACACAAACGAGUGAAACAAGUACGUAAGUAUGGCAUAAUGAACAAAUAACACUGAUUGUAAAGGUUAUUGAUAACGAAUAAAAGUUACGCUAGGGAUAACAGGGUAAUAUAACGAAAGAGUAGAUAUUGUAAGUUAUGUUUGCCACCUCGAUGUCGACUCAACAUUUCCUCUUGGUUGUAAAAGCUAAGAAGGGUUUGACUGUUCGUCAAUUAAAAUGUUACGUGAGUUGGGUUAAAUACGAUGUGAAUCAGUAUGGUUCCUAUCUGCUGAAGGAAAUAUUAUCAAAUUAAAUCUCAUUAUUAGUACGCAAGGACCAUAAUGAAUCAACCCAUGGUGUAUCUAUUGAUAAUAAUAUAAUAUAUUUUAUAAAAAUAAUACUUUAUUAAUAUAUUAUCUAUAUUAGUUUAUAUUUUAAUUAUAUAUUAUCAUAGUAGAUAAGCUAAGUUGAUAAUAAAUAAAUAUUGAAUACAUAUUAAAUAUGAAGUUGUUUUAAUAAGAUAAUUAAUCUGAUAAUUUUAUACUAAAAUUAAUAAUUAUAGGUUUUAUAUAUUAUUUAUAAAUAUAAUAUAAUAAUUAUUAUUAUUAAUAAAAAAAAUAUUAAUUAUAAUAUUAAUAAAAUACUAAUUUAUCAGUUAUCUAUAUAAUAUCUAAUCUAUUAUUCUAUAUACU
rnacentral:rRNA from 1 species